UACGGGAGGCAGCAGUGGGGAAUAUUGCACAAUGGGGGAAACCCUGAUGCAGCGACGCCGCGUGAAGGAAGAAGUAUCUCGGUAUGUAAACUUCUAUCAGCAGGGAAGAUAGUGACGUACC
rnacentral:rRNA from 1 species